rnacentral:rRNA from 1 species
GAUCUGGCUCAGAACGAACGCUGGCGGCGCGUCUUAAGCAUGCAAGUCGGACGGCAAGGGUGUGCUGCACAACUCCUAGAGUGGCGGACUGGUGAGUAACGCGUGGGUGACCUGCCCUCGAGAUGGGGAUAGCCAUUAGAAAUAGUGGAUAAUACCGAAUACGCUCAUGACCCUGUGGGGAUAUGAGGAAAACAGGCUACGGCCUGGCUCGAGGAUGGGCCCGCGUCCCAUUAGCUAGUUGGUGAGGUAACGGCCCACCAAGGCGACGAUGGGGUAUCCGGCCUGAGAGGGUGUACGGACACAUUGGGACUGAGAUACGGCCCAAACUCCUACGGGAGGCAGCAGCUAAGAAUAUUCCGCAAUGGACGAAAGUCUGACGGAGCGACGCCGCGUGGAUGAAAAGAAGGCCGGAAGGUUGUAAAAUCCUUUUGCUGAUGAAGAAUAAGUGUGGUAGGGAAUGACCGCAUGAUGACAUUAGUCGGUGAAUAAGCCCCGGCUAACUACGUGCCAGCAGCGGC